rnacentral:tRNA from 1 species
CAGAGUAUGGCUGAGUUAAUUAAGCAUCUCACUUACACCGAGAAGACAUCCAUGAGAGUUGGAUUACCCUGA